GCUCAGGUAGCUCAGUUGGUAGAGCGGCGGACUGAAAAUCCGCAGGUCGCAAGGUCGGAACUUGCCCUGAGCA
rnacentral:tRNA from 1 species